rnacentral:rRNA from 1 species
AUUGAACGCUGGCGGCAGGCCUAACACAUGCAAGUCGAACGCGUGGCGGACGGGUGAGUAAUGUCUGGGAAACUGCCUGAUGGAGGGGGAUAACUACUGGAAACGGUAGCUAAUACCGCAUACCAUCGGAUGUACCCAGAUGGGAUUAGCUAGUAGGUGGGGUAAAGGCUCAACUAGGCGAGGAUCCCUAGCUGGGCUGAGAGGCUUACUGGCCACCCUGGGACUGAGACACUGUCCAGACGCCUACGGGAGGCAGCAGUGGGUAUUAUUGCACAAUGGGCGCAAGCCUGAGGCAGCCAUCCCGCGUGUAUGAAGAAGGCCUUCGGUUUGUAAAGUACUUUCAGCGGGGAGGCGGUACCCGCAGAAGAAGCACCGGCUAACUCCGUGCCAGCAGCCGCGGUAAUAC